rnacentral:rRNA from 1 species
AUCUAUGGCCAUACCACCCUGAAAGCUCCUGAUCUCGUCUGAUCUCAAAAGCUAAGCAGAGUCAGGCCUGGUUAGUACCUGGAUGGGAGAAUAUUACAGGGGCACAAAGGUUUUGGAUU